GAACAGAGAAACGGACAGAGAAAUGCAGAGGAGAGAGAUGACGGGAAGGAAGGAAGGAAGGGAGGGAGGGAGGGAGGAGGAGGAAGGAAGGGAGGCAAGCAGGAAGAAGGAAGGCAGAAAGGAAGGAAGGAAGGCAGACAGGCAGGAAGGAAGAAUGCAGGCUGGCAAGAAGAAAGAAAGGAAGAAAGGAAGCAAGAAGGAAGGAAGGCAGGGAGGCAAGCAGGAAGGAAGGAAGCAAGCAAGCUGGCAGGCAAGAAGGAAGGAAGGAAGGAAGCAAGAAGGAAGGAAGGAAGCAAGAAGGAAGAAAGGAAGGCAGGAAGAAAGGAAGGAAGGCAGGUAGGCAGGAAGGAAGGAGGCAGGGUGGCAAGAAGGAAGGAAGGAAGGAAGGAAGGAAGGAAGGAAGGAAGGAAGGAAGGAAGGAAGGAAGGAAGGAAGGAAAGAAGGAAGGAAGGAGGCAAGCAGGAAGCAAGCAAGCAAGCAAGCUGGCAGGCAAGAAGGAAGGAAGAAAGGAAGCAAGAAGGAAGGAAGGAAGCUGGAAGGAGGGAAGGAAGAAAGGAAGGAAGGAAGGAAGGAAGGAAGGAGGAAGGAAGCUGGCAAGCAGGAAGGAAAGAAGGAAGGCAGGAAGGAAGGCAGGAAGAAAGGAGACAGGCAAGAAGGAAGGAAGGAAGCAAGCAAGCUGGGAGGCAAGAAGGAAGGAAGAAAGGAAGCAAGAAGGAAGGAAGGAAGCUGGAAGGAAGGAAGGAAGGAAGGGAGGAAGGAGGCAAGCAGGAAGCAAGCAAGCUGGCAGGCAAGAAGGAAGGAAGAAAGGAAGCAAGAAGGAAGGAAGGAAGCUGGCAGGCAGGCAGGCAGGCAGGAAGGAAGGAAGGAAAAAGGAAGGAAGGAAGGAAGCUGGCAAGCAGGAAGGAAAGAAGGAAGGAAGGAAGGAAGCAAGAAGGAAGGAAGGAAGCAAGCAAGCAAGCUGGGAGGCAAGAAGGAAGGAAGCAAGCAAGCUGGGAGGCAAGAAGGAAGGAAGGAAAGAAGGAAGGAAGGAGGGAAGGAAGGAAGGAAGGAAGGAAGCAAGCAGGGAGGCAAGCAGGAAGGAAGCAAGCAAGCAAGCAAGCUGGGAGGCAAGAAGGAAGGAAGAAAGGAAGCAAGAAGGAAGAAAGGAAGCUGGAAGGAAGGAAGGAAGGAAGGAAGGAAGGAAGGAAGGAAGGAAGGAAGGAAGGAAGGGAGGGAGGGAGGGAGGGAGGGGCAGGGAGGCAAGCAGGAAGGAAGGAAGGAAGCAGGGAGGCAAGGAGGAAGGAAGGAAGGAAGCAAGCAAGCAGGCAGAUGGGCAGGAAGGCAGGUGGGCAGGUGGGCAGACGGGCAGUUGGGCAGGAAGCAGGCAGGCAGGCUCCUGACUCGGCGGGGGCACAAGGGACGUGCCUAAGCGACCCCCAGCUCAGCCCUCGCCGCAGGCCACCCACGGGCUGA
rnacentral:lncRNA from 1 species